AAACCAUGGUCUAUUAUUAAAUAGAUACUCAAUACAUCUAGAUUGCAAGAAACUAAACCCAAAAAGGAUUACAGAAGGUAAAAUAAAAGCACUCCCUCCCCUUGAGGACCUUCAUAAUAGAUUUGAAGUAGUGGGUGAGGUUGAACUAGAGAGGGUAGUAAUGCACCCACCUCUUGAACAUGUAGUAACAUUCUCUUCUAUAGUACUCUGGAGCCGUGUGGCCUGCACCCUGUUGAACCCAAAACCACAUAUCUUCAAAUUCUAUUAUUUACUUUCAAUUUGGCAGAGAAAAAGACUAGGAAAUGUAUAGAAUAUGGUUGUGCUUGCCUUCACGGUCGCAUAAGUCAAUCGGUACCCAUUUUGUGAAUGCUUCUCCGUGUAUCUACAUCAAACACCAAUGAUAACUUAGCCAUGAAUUUUCAGAAAAAUCACUAACUGCAUUGGAGACUUGGGAAAAAUUCUUCAAACCUACCCUGCAAUUUCACCAUCAACAAACCAUGGCCGCCAAGGACUAACAAUUGUCAAAUUGAGGAGUCUAAUCCAUUCUACCGCCCCCGGGUAUGGAACAACCAAGUCGCGAUCGCCACUGCAGGAGUAAAAAAAUCAACCAUAUUAACCGCUAGGGUUUGAAUACUUCUUGUUUUAAUUGGGAGUUGAAGUGGUGCUUACACUUCUACAAGAACUUCCAGCUGCUUUUUACUGAGAUAACGGUGAACAUCGAUUACGCUCUGAACAUCUUUUGUGUACGACAAGCUCUUGUUGCACCUCGACCAAUAUUUUACAGUUCCCUGAUCCGACCAUAAAACAAAAAAAGGGAUGAAAAAAUGUUCAGUACUCUAAUACCAUUCAUCACUGAGAGUUGAUCAGGUAUUCACAUACCACUCGGACAUUUAAUGCUUCUUGGACACUUUCAUCAUUAGCCCAGAUGUAGGACAAUGCAUAAUUGAAGUUCUGCAAGAAGAUAUGAACCAGUUGAUCAUCAGCCAGCCAUCUACAUUUCCAAAGAAAAGUAUAAAUUCAGAAGGAGGGAUAUGAGGUUUUUUUAGUACCCGGCACCAGAACUCUUCAAGUUUUGGUGUAUUAAGAAUGAAGUCUCCAGGCUUCUCAUCCAGAGAUCUUCGGGUUGGUUCUGGGGAUUCAAAGACACACUUGGGCUCCAAAAUAUCAUUACGGAACAAGUCUUUGACACACUGCAAAUUCGAACAUAGAGAUGAUAGACAAGUUAAAAGGAAGAAUGAAUUAAUUAACUAUGUGAUUGAUGGAACCCGAAAAAACAAAUAAUCAUGACUUACAUGUUGGAUUUCACCAAGACUACUUAAGCACUUUGUGUUAGAUGGAUCUACAUCUGCAUAGUUCCCAUUGCAGUUUUCUUUUGCAGCCUGGAAAAGCACAGACCAUUAUAAGCUUUACAGUUCAAUCCUAGUUUUAGUAGGGCUACACUAGAAGUUGUAACAAUAAAAGAAGAUAAGAGGUUUUUGAGGGAAGAAAUUAAUACCAAAAUAUCAAUUAAGCAAAGGAAAUUUUGGCAAACAAAAGACAAGAAGAAGUGAAGGGAGAUAAAAAUGAUGUGAUUUUUGUUUAUCAAAAUACUAGAAAUUAUUGGUUUUUUGGGGUAGUAUUUUCAGAAACAAUUUUAAAAAUCUCUUUUGAGAAUUAUUUUCUUUUAAAAAAAAAUUAUUUUACUCUUUAAUAUUUCAUAAAAAAGCCUAUUCAAAAACUUUAAAUAUUCUUAACAUGUUUUUUAUGUUGUUAAAUAUUUUUGUAAAGUAAUUUUUUUAUUAUAAUACUAUUUUAUUUUCAAUCAUUAUUUAUAUUUUUUUAAGAAUAGAAGUUUAUUUAUUUUUAAUUAAUAAACAUAUUUUUUAUUCGUUUAUUCUUAAAAAAUAAAAAUAAAAAUAAAAACUGUUUUCAAAAACAGCUUCUCAAAUUAAGGGAAGAUUGCUCGAGAUUACCUCAUAGAGCUCAUCGGAUAUAAGGGCCAACCGGUGAGCAAAUACAACUUUUGCAUUUGUAUUGAUGUUUUCAUCUGUUGUCGGGCUCCCAACCAAAUACCCCUAAAACCAUCAUUGAAAGAGAAUCCAAAUCAAUUAAUUGGGAUCACCCCAAUAAUAAACUAAUGAAAUCAUUCAAAGUUGGUAGGUCAGUGGAGUACUUGUAGGUUAAAUCGUGGCACAGUGUGUUCAUCUAUAGCUGCAAGUCCAUAUACCAAAAUCUGAGCUCAGUACAAUAUUCAUACAUGAAAGAAUAGCAAGUUGCAUGCAGUGACAAAAUAUAGGUUAAUUACCAUCUACUAUAUGUUUGACGACUAGAGGAACGAUUAUGCCUGAAUAUGAAUCACCACCCACAUAGAGUUGAAGAGGGAGGUAUUUAGGGUGUUCAAUCAACCACUGCACCAUUAUUCAUACAUAACUUAGUCAAAUAAACUACGGAAUUAAUCAAUAUUUAUUACUUAAUUAACUUAAUUAAUUACCUUCCUCAGGAACUCAUAGGUUUCAAGGGCUGAAUCUGUGUCUGAACUAGACCAACCAUCCGCGGAUGUUGAGUAGGAGAAGC
rnacentral:lncRNA from 1 species